rfam:Parcubacteria bacterium GW2011_GWA2_49_9 TY50_C0030, whole genome shotgun sequence.
CAAUAUUAGAGUUUGAUCCUAGCUCAGGAUGAACGCUGGCGGCGUGGAUAAGGCAUGCAAGUCAAGGGGGCCGCAAGGCAACCGGCAGACGAGGUAGUAAUAAGCAGGGAACGUACCCUAGAGUCAGGCAUAGCUCAUCGAAAGGUGAGGUAAUUCCUGAUAGUACCAGCCGUAAUUUUUGAUUCGGAGAUUAAGGUUCGACCUUUCUCCCGAUUUAAGGUCGAACCUUGAUGAACUGUUAAGAUUGAACUCCUCCGAUUUGGCGAAAAAUUCAAUCGCGGAGAUUUUUUCGCAUCUUCAGACAAGGACUACGGGCCUUACUGAGGAGGAGGCAAAGGCAGGGUUAUCCAAAUACGGGUUAAAUCAGUUACAGGCGAAAAAGAAUGCAAAGAGCUUUGGGAGAAAUUCAGCCCGAAAAGGGUAUUAUGGGAUUUGUGGGAUUUCCGCUUUUGCUUCCAUGCCGGCAGUUUCAGCUUUAAUUUUAUUGUUGGAUUUGAAGGAAAAGAGGAGGCAGGCCUUCUGCCCCUGGUUUUUGAUAAUACAGAAAAA